rnacentral:sRNA from 1 species
GGCUGCCAGCCUGAGGACUCAUAGGAUUCUCCCCAGAUGAUCCUCUUUGCCUUACAGUCCAUGGUGGGGUCUGACAUCGCUGAGCUGCUAAUGCAAGACUGCAAGAAGCUGGAGAAGUACAAGCGGCAGCCCCCUGUGGCCAACCUCAUCAGCCUGACCGAUGAGGACUGGCCAGUGCUGAGCUCUGGGACCCCGAACCUGCUCACGGGAGAGAUCCCCCCCAGUGUGGAGACACCUGCGCAGAUCGUGGAGAAAUUCACUAGGCUGCUCUACUAUGGAAGGAAGAAGGAAGCCUUGGAGUGGGCCAUGAAGAACCACUUGUGGGGUCAUGCUUUGUUCCUGUCCAGCAAGAUGGACCCAUGGACCUACAGCUGGGUCAUGAGUGGCUUCACCAGCACGCUGGCGCUCAAUGACCCACUGCAGACCCUCUUCCAGCUCAUGUCGGGGAGGAUUCCACAGGCAGCCACGUGUUGUGGAGAAAAGCAGUGGGGAGACUGGAGGCCUCACCUGGCUGUGAUUCUGUCGAAUCAGGCUGGGGACCCAGAGCUGUAUCAGCGUGCGAUUGUUGCCAUUGGGGACACCCUGGCUGGGAAGGGGCUUGUGGAGGCAGCUCACUUCUGCUACCUCGUGGCUCACGUGCCCUUUGGCCACUACACCGUGAAGACAGACCAUCUGGUCUUGCUGGGCAGCAGCCACAGUCAAGAGUUUUUGAAAUUUGCAACAACUGAGGCAAUCCAGAGGACGGAAAUCUUCGAGUACUGUCAGAUGCUGGGCCGCCCCAAAUCCUUCAUCCCUUCUUUCCAGGU